AGCCACCUCCGCCCCUUUCCCCGCGGCCCCCGAGCCCGCGACCUCCUAGACCUCCACUGCCAAGGCCACCGUCACCUCCUUCCCCCCAGCCACCUGUGCCACCACCACCUCCUUCCCCCCAGCCACCUGUGCCACCACCACCUCCUUCCCCCCAGCCACCUGUGCCCCCCCCACCCNNNNNNNNNNNNNNNNNNNNNNNNNNNNNNNNNNNNNNNNNNNNNNNNNNCAACUCUGGCGACAAUAGUCUUUGUACACGCUUUGCCUCCCCUUCAAAUUCGUUCUUGACCUCCGAUGUCUCUGGCGAGUUUGUCUGGGCAAAUCCCCCAUACACAAAAAUUGAGCUUUGGCAUAAGCAUUACCUGCGCUGCAAGCGUAUGCGUCCCGAAACCACUUCAGCGGUUUUUGUAGUACCGAAAUGGUCUCAAAUUGAAAGACGCAUGCGAGCGGCAGGACACCAGCUGCUAAAAACAUAUGCCGUAGGGACGAAACUGUUCUUAGAGAAAGCAGACGAUGGUAGUCGUCAGGAAAUGCCCGGUAUCCCGUGGCCUAUCCAGCUUUGGUAUGACCCGCCAGCUAAAGAGGUUCAGCUGAACAGUAUUGGCUCCUCACAGUCCAUGAUUUUUGGCGCAUUCUUAUGCCAAACGCCUUGCAGCGCACUUAUCGAUUCCGGUGCUGACUGCAAGGGCACGGCUGAUGGAUUCAUCUCCUCCGAGGCAGCUCGCAAAAUGGGGCUCGCUAUUCGGCCGUGUUCAACUUCUUCGGUUCGCGUCGCGAACGGAUCCUCCGAGCUCAUUGAGGGCUUGAUACACGCCAAGUUGCGGAUAGCAUCCUUUCAUGACACAGUCAAACUGCUCGUGCUAAAGCAAGCUAACGCCGGAGUCGAACUUAUACUUGGCGCGGAUUGGCUGGUGCGCCGCANAGCGCGGAUGUGCUUCCAAACGCGGACGCUUACGCUCCACAAGUCGCCCACAGACAGUUGGACGCUCAAGCCUUCCUUUUGGUCUUCGGACAAUAAUGCUGAAGAUCACCUUGAUGGUAUCACUAUCAUGAACUACGUCACCGCGACACUCUAUGCGGCGACGACAGUUGAAACGAUGUCGGCUAAAGCAGCGGCACNNNNNNNNNNNNNNNNNNNNNNNNNNNNNNNNNNNNNNNNNNNNNNNNNNCGGUAUUGAGUACGGCGACUACUCGACAGCCAUGGGCCGCGGCACUGCUUGCCCCAACGCUGCGGAGAUCUCCCGCAUGGGCUGGGCCACACCCGCGGUCGGAGGUGACCAGCUGAACAGCAGUGCCUUGCUGCCAGGCACUACGAAAACCUUUGUGCUGCCUGCCACCUACCUCACCGGCAGCAACAACUACCUGCGUGUCACACCCGACUGGCUGAGUAUGUACAACGACUCAAAGUCAGCUCUGAACCUGUACAUGGCUGUCCGAGUAGCAAGGGAAGGCGAUGCUGGCUUAGGACAAUCAUACGCUUCCAAGGUUAACAUUCAUGAAGUAAAUGCGACGAUGGUGAGCGGUGCCUCCAAAUACCUAUCACGAAACGUUGGAUGCGAUAUUUGUAAUUGGUUUUGGGUGUCGAAAGCAGGCAUGGAUAUUUCGCUACUGCAGUGCAAACUAUCUAAGUGAUAUUUCGCUACCGGCACGUGCACUGAUAUUUCGCUACCGGCACGUGCACUGAUAUUUCGCUACUGCAAUGCAAACUAUUUAAGCGUUUUUUCUACUGUUGCUGCAUGCAGGAUAAUGGCUUACCAAACCUCUAUGCAAACAGCGACCGCAAAAUCCAGUUCAUCAACGCCGUCAGCCCCAUGUCCCAGCUGACCUUGGAUGUCUACAACCUAGUCGUGUAUGGGGGAUCAUGGGUCGAUACGGACACCUUGAGGGUGCACCUCUGCCGAUUUAAGAACUCGCCUUUUGAGUGUCCUUCCCUCGGCGACCUGGAAGCCCAGCCACCUCCGCCCCUUUCCCCGCGGCCCCCGAGCCCGCGACCUCCUAGACCUCCACUGCCAAGGCCACCGUCACCUCCUUCCCCCCAGCCACCUGUGCCACCACCACCUCCUUCCCCCCAGCCACCUGUGCCACCACCACCUCCUUCCCCCCAGCCACCUGUGCCCC
rnacentral:lncRNA from 1 species